ACUAGAGUGUUUUUGCAAUUCCGAUUAUGUAAGACAAAAGACUGCCACAAUGCCUAGUGAAAUCGUUCUAGGCGCAAAAUUUUAUCGACAUUAUGCGACUAAAUAAAAUACACCCUUUCCCGGUACUACUUACUACGGGUGCGGCAUACUUUUGCACAUAUUCGCAUUAUAUUUGAUUUUGCUGUUUGUCUGUGGUGAAGUGAAGUGCCAUAGUUUCUUUGUUGGUAAACAAAGCCGUAUUAAAAUAUUAAUAAAAAAAUUGGUUUCGUUGGAUCAAAGUACUUGCUACUGCUAGUUUUUUGUUUUCAAUAGAAGUAAUUAAUUAAUCAUUUUAUCGUAUACAUUUUUAUAAGUGUUAAUAGUUAAUUUAUCAAAGUAAACGGCCACUUUUACAUAAAACAUUAUCUACACGAAAGUUCUUCAAAGUUUUAUCGUCUGCCUAUGAUUAAUUUAAUGGUCGUUGUGAUAAUAUGUAAAGUAUAUUGUAUAGUGUUUUGUAUAUUAAAGUUCAUCGCUUGCUACUAAAGAUGUCCGGGAAACUCAAUGAUCGCCAAUUGAACUCUAAUUGGAGAUUGCAGAGUGCCACCCAAACUUGGCGAUGGGUUGUUUUGGAGGGCCUUUGGAAAGUCAGGCUACUAAAUAAACCUUCCGUGUUCGCGUCUGCCAGUUGCGUUGUAUCAACAUGAAGAUGUGGGCUCUAAACUUUGAGUGCCAGGGACUGACUAUGGAAGUCUCCAUGUCGCUGGUCACCAUUGAGGUGCAAAACACCUUGAAAAAAUUGGUGAUUCUGAAUCCUUCAUCUCUAUGAACGAUUCAUGAAGAAAGAAUUAAACAAACAUUUAAUGAACAGAUUUUUUAUAAGAUUAUUAUCAAUAAUGACAUUGCAUAUGAGAGAAAAUUGUCAAAUAUAAUUUCAUUUUAAUUUAAUAUAGUUAAUUAUGACAUCACUGUAUAUAAAGAAUAUGAUUAUUAUCAUUUGGUUAAUUUCAGUAUUACAUAGUAUUAGAUAAAAAUUUUAUUGUAAAAUUGCACAUCAAAAUAUGUUUUAUUAUCUAUUAUUAGGAGGAAAUAUUAUUUAACUAUUAUUAUUAUCCCUAAUAGCCCAGUGAAUGUGACCUCUGCCUCCAAUUCCGGAGGGUGUGGGUUCGAACCCGUUCCGGGGCACGCACCUCCAACUUUUGUUGAUGUCUGCCAAUGUAAUCCAAAUAUGCUGGCGCAUAUUCGGAUUACAUUGGCAGACAUCACAUAUGCAGAGAAUUAAGAGAAUUCUCUGGUAUGCAGGUUUCCUCACGAUGUUUUCCUUCACUGUUUGAGACACGUGAUAUUUAGUUUCUUAAAAUGCACACAACUGAAAAGUUGGAGGUGCGUGCCCCGGAACGGGUUCGACUCUUGUCAGAAUGAGAGGGGUUAGGCAUUGGCCUUCCCUUACCUUAUCAGCCGAUAGACGUCCACUGCUGGACAUAGGCCUCUUACAUGGACCUUCAAGCACAACGACCUUGAACCGCGAACAUCCAUCCAACCGACCAACCACGCUUUCCAGUGCGGGGUCUCCCGAGUGCGGGUAGGCACUAACCCCUCUUACUGGGGGAGACUCGAGCUCAGCAGUGAGCCGAAUAUGUGUUUAUAAUGAUGAUGAUGAUGAUGAUGAUGAUGAUUAUUUAAGUAAUUGUAAAAGAAAAAAUUGCAUACUACAUUAGUUGUUUAUCUAUACAAUUCAAUCAGUGAUAGCCCAGUGAUAGCCCAGUGGAUAUGACCUCUGCCUCCGAUUCCGGAGGGUGUGGGUUCGAAUCCUGUCCGGGGCAUGCACCUCCAACUUUUCAGUUGUGUGCAUUUUAAGAAAUUAAAUAUCACGUGUCUCAAUCGGUGAAGGAAAACAUCGUGAGGAAACCUGCAUACCAGAGAAUUAUCUUCAUUCUCUGCGUGUGUGAAGUCCGCCAAUCCGCAUUGGGCCAGCGUGGUGGACUAUUGGCCUAACCCCUCUCAUUCUGAGAGGAGACUCGAGCUCAGCAGUGAGCCGAAUAUGGGUUGAUGACGACGACGACGACAAUUCAAAAAUUUUAAGAACAAAACAUGUACCUACCACAUUGUAGGAAAUAAAUAAAUAAUGAUUUGAUUAAAAACAAUGUUGUUUAAUGUUAAGUUGGUAGGGCCAGGUAGUUAAAGUAGAUACUCUAUAUUUGUGUAACAUCUAUUACUUAAAAAUAAAAAAUAUAUUUACUUG